CCUACGGGAGGCAGCAGUGAGGAAUAUUGGUCAAUGGACGAGAGUCUGAACCAGCCAAGUCGCGUGAAGGAUGACUGCCCUAUGGGUUGUAAACUUCUUUUAUAAAGGAAUAAAACGAGGCACGUGUGCCUUUUUGCAUGUACUUUAUGAAUAAGGAUCGGCUAACUCCGUGCCAGCCGCCGCGGUAAUACGGAGGAUCCGAGCGUUAUCCGGAUUUAUUGGGUUUAAAGGGAGCGUAGAUGGGUUGUUAAGUCAGUUGUGUAAGUUUGCGGCUCAACCGUAAAAUUGCAAUUGAUACUGGCAGUCUUGAGUACAGGUGAGGUAGGCGGAAUUCGUGGUGUAGCGGUGAAAUGCUGAGAUAUCACGAAGAACCCCGAUUGCGAAGGCAGCUUACUAAACUGUGACUGACAUUGAUGCUCGAAAGUGUGGGUAUCAAACAGGAUUAGAUACCCUUGUAGUC
rnacentral:rRNA from 1 species